AUUGAACGCUGGCGGCAGGCCUAACACAUGCAAGUCGGGCGAGCGGAGGACGGGUGAGCUAUGUAUGGGGAUCUGCCUGAUGGAGGGGGUUAACUACUGGAAACGGUAGCUAAUACCGUACACCAUCAGCUGAACCCAUAUGGGAUUAGCUUGUAGGUAAGGUAACGGCUUACCUAGGCGACGAUCCCUAGCUGGUCUGAGAGGAUGAUCAGCCACACUGGGACUGAGACACGGCCCAGACUCCUACGGGAGGCAGCAGUGGGGAAUAUUGCACAAUGGGCGAAAGCCUGAUGCAGCCAUGCCGCGUGGAUGAAGAAGGCCUUCGGGUUGUAAAGUACUUUCAGCGAGGAGGCGUUACUCGCAGAAGAAGCACCGGCUAACUCCGUGCCAGCCGCCGCGGUAAUUC
rnacentral:rRNA from 1 species